GAUGAACGCUGGCGGCGUGCCUAACACAUGCAAGUCGAGCGAUCUCUUCGGAGAGAGCGGCGGACGGGUGAGUAACGCGUGGGUAACCUGCCCUGUACACACGGAUAACAUACCGAAAGGUAUGCUAAUACGGGAUAAUAUAUAAAAGUCGCAUGGCUUUUAUAUCAAAGCUUUUGCGGUACAGGAUGGACCCGCGUCUGAUUAGCUAGUUGGUAAGGUAACGGCUUACCAAGGCGACGAUCAGUAGCCGACCUGAGAGGGUGAUCGGCCACACUGGAACUUAGACACGGUCCAGACUCCUACGGGAGGCAGCAGUGGGGAAUAUUGCACAAUGGGCGAAAGCCUGAUGCAGCAACGCCGCGUGAGCGAUGAAGGCCUUCGGGUCGUAAAGCUCUGUCCUCAAGGAAGAUUAUGACGGUACUUGAGGAGGAAGCCCCGGCUAACUACGUGCCAGCCGCCGCGGUAA
rnacentral:rRNA from 1 species